AAUCUUAUGUUGGUAUAUAAGACGAUUUCUGCCCAAUGAUUUUUUAAUGGCCGCAGUACCCUGACUGUGCUAAGGUAGCAUAAUAAAUUGGCUUUUAAAUGAGGUCUAGAAUGAAAGAACAUUUGAAUAUUGAUUGUCUUUUUUUUGUUAAGUUGAAUUUAAUUUAAUAGGUGAAAAGACCUAUCAGGGAAAGAAAGACGAGAAGACCCUUAGAAUUUUAAAUAAAAAACUAUUCAUUGUCUUUUUUUGUUGGGGUGACAUAUUAACAUUUUAAACUUUUUUAGCUACAUGUCAAAUAUUUAGGGACGAAAAAAUUACCUUAGGGAUAACAGCAUAAUUUUUAUCAAAGAUUGUGACCUCGAUGUUGGACUAGGGACCUAAUAAUUAGUAAUUAAGUUGGUUAGUUCUGUUCGAACUUUUUACCCCU
rnacentral:rRNA from 1 species